rnacentral:rRNA from 1 species
CAAGUCGAGCGAACGGACGAGAAGCUUGCUUCUCUGACGUUAGCGGCGGACGGGUGAGUAACACGUGGAUAACCUACCUAUAAGACUGGGAUAACUUCGGGAAACCGGAGCUAAUACCGAGAUAAUAUUUUGAACCGCAUGAUUCAAAAGUGAAAGACGGUCUUGCUGUCACUUAUAGAUGGAUCCGCGCUGCAUUAGCUAGUUGGUAAGGUAACGGCUUACCAAGGCAACGAUGCAUAGCCGACCUGAGAGGGUGAUCGGCCACACUGGAACUGAGACACGGUCCAGACUCCUACGGGAGGCAGCAGUAGGGAAUCUUCCGCAAUGGGCGAAAGCCUGACCGGAGCAACGCCGCGUGAGUGAUGAAGGUCUUCGGAUCGUAAAACUCUGUUAUUAGGGAAGAACAUAUGUGUAAGUAACUGUGCACAUCUUGACGGUACCUAAUCAGAAAGCCACGGCUAACUACGUGCCAGCAGCCGCGGUAAUACGUAGGUGGCAAGCGUUAUCCGGAAUUAUUGGGCGUAAAGCGCGCGUAGGCGGUUUUUUAAGUCUGAUGUGAAAGCCCACGGCUCAACCGUGGAGGGUCAUUGGAAACUGGAAAACUUGAGUGCAGAAGAGGAAAGUGGAAUUCCAUGUGUAGCGGUGAAAUGCGCAGAGAUAUGGAGGAACACCAGUGGCGAAGGCGACUUUCUGGUCUGUAACUGACGCUGAUGUGCGAAAGCGUGGGGAUCAAA